rnacentral:tRNA from 1 species
CGCAAUAUAGCUUAAUCAAAGCAUCUCGCUUACACCGAGAAAACCUCUGUGAAAACCAGAGUAUUUCGA